rnacentral:rRNA from 1 species
GACGAACCGUGCGAACGUUAUUCGGAAUAACUGGGCUUAAAGGGAGCGUAGGCGGGCUAUCAAGUCUGGGGUGAAAUCCCACGGCUCACCCGUGGAACGGCUGGGUAUACUGGGUGUCUUGAGCCACUUAGGGGCUGCCGGAACAAAUGGUGGAGCGGUGAAAUGCGUAGAUAUCAUUUGGAACGCCAAUGGUGAAAACAGGCAGCUGGGAGUGUGCUGACGCUGAGACACGAAAGCCAGGGGAGCGAACGGG